AUUUACAUUUGCAUAUCCACUGAUGUACCAUAUAGACAUAGUCCAACCAUAACCUACGGACAAUUAUAUCAGGAAAUUAGACUGGCACUGCAAGGCUAAUCAUUAAUUACACUGUAUCAUACACAUUUCAAUGUUGCUGAUGUGCACACCAUAAACAAUGAAGAUGAGGUCAGAGUACUGAUGUGUUUCUUCAAAAUGAGCUGCCUAGGACUAGGACUAGGCCAAAGCUCUGUGAUGAAACUUUGCAUCAAGGUUAGACGCUUCUAAUUGGGUCCUAUACAGUUUCCCAUAAUUCACAUAGCUACAAGGUUAUAGACACAGUAUGUUAUGUGUGAAAACAUUACAACAGGCUGAAGAUCACACCAUGAGUCCUAUCUUAUUCAUAAUAUCUGAUAUCUACCCAGCAAAGCUCUUUGGAGCUAGUACCCACAUGAGAGAAGGAAAGACUGUUGAUGUGAAGUGCAGCACUACAGGCACCAGGAAACCGUUGAGCAAGGUCUAUGUUUACCUUUGCAAGAAUGGAAGUGGAAUGAGAGUAAGAGAGCUGGAGAAAGGUGAAGAUGACACCAUUUUCACCAUCAAGGAUGUUGAACGAGAGGACUCAGGCAUCUACAGCUGUGUGUACGCCAUAGAAAAACUAAAACUCAGUCAAGUGAACGCAACAGGUGUGAAUCUAGUCAUCAUUCAGGUCUACAAGGAUGGAGAAGAAGAGGUUCAUCAAGAGGUCCAUGAAGUGGCUGCACGUGAUGUGAGACUGGUCAAUGUUAUCCGAUUGAUAAGUUCAGUUGUUGUGGUGAUACUUCUUUUGUCUGUAAUGUAUGUUAGUUACUACUGUCCAAACAUAUAAUGAUCUGUUUCCUGGAUGACAUACAGUACACUAGUGAUGCACUGACAGAAUUACAAUACUAUUUUCUUGAUAAUUCUUACACGUAAUCUACAGUAGGCCUACAUUUCCCUGUGCUCCUCACUCAUGACACAAUUAUAAUUGAAUUUGAAAGAAUGUUGAUUGAACCUACCAGACUAGGUUGUUGUCGAUAUCAAUCAGGCCUAUGGUUUUGUGGGUGGGGUGGUGGGUAAAAUGUUCAAUAAACUGUACAUAAUUUAAUUAAUUUUGUUAAAAGAAUGUAUGGUGGCAGGCAAGUAAUAAAUAUUGUAUAUUUAAUUAUAAAUCUUCCUGCUGUCUGUGUUUUGAGUCCUGCAGACCAGAAAGUCACACAAUUAAAGAUACUUUUAGGGUAGAGAGAGUUAUC
rnacentral:lncRNA from 8 species